GCCCCGUUUAGCUCAGUUGGUAGAGCGCUCCACCUGUAAUGGAGAGGUCCCGGGUUCGAUACCCGGACCAGGCG
rnacentral:tRNA from 1 species